UUUGCAAAAUGCACUGUUAAGUGCAAGCAGCAAGGUUGCCUCGUAAGACAAGCCACCAGCUUCCACAGCCAGCAGCCUAGGCCGCCUCCUCCCCAGGCACCCGACAACCCCCACCCGCCCCACGGCGAGGCUGCCUCCGACGCUGGAGCCUCCGGCUGGAAAGCCUGGCCGAGUCCCCGGAGCGGCAGGUGUCGCGGAAAACGAAAGCGGGCUCUCGGUGCCCUUGUCCCCUUUGCCACGCGGGGACCCGGGGCUGCCGGCGCUCCGCCCAGGGAAGCCCGGCCCACGCCUGGCGCGGAGGAGGCCCCGCGCUGGGAGCUGCGGCGCCCGCACAAGGGAAGGAGACGUGGAGGGAAAAGUUGGGAGCCCAGGGACGGAAAAACAGCCGUCCGCCAGGUGCCGGCGCACCCGGAAGGGAGGGAGGGAGGGGGCGAGCGAACAGGUGUGCAGCCUCGGCGAGGGGCAGCUCGCGUCCCCGCCGCCUGCGAGCUCCCGCGCGGCCGGAGCGGGGAGCGGGGAGCGGGGAGCGGGGCGGGGGGAGGGGACGGGCUCCUGGGGCGAAGGGGAGACCCUGAGGCUGUCGUCACGGCCGCCCGGGGCUGCGGGGGGGGCGGGGUGGAAGCCUCCCCCGCACCCCGCCCCCAGUCCCUCUUCCUCGGUGAUGCACUUCCUGCGGCCGAGGAUUCCCUUUGUGUUGAAAUUCAAGAAGAUCCGGCUGCGGCGCGCGGCCUGCGGGGCCCGGGGGCGCGGGCCGGGGCGGGGACUCCGGCGUGGGCGGCGCGGGGCGGCGACCGCGAGGCCGGGCCUUGUCGGGGGUCCCCGCCCCCCGGGCCCCGCCAGCCGCGCGCCCCCCCCCAGCCUCGCGUCCCGAGCCGGCUGCGCGGUGGGGAAACGGAGCCCUCGGGGGCGGUGUCCCCCACGCGGCGCGCCCAGACUCCUGCGGGCGGCUCCGUUGGCUCCCUCGUGGGCAGAGUGGGGAAGAGGCCAGAGGGAGCCCCUGCUUCUGUUUGGGCGGCGCGCCGCGUCCUAGAAAACCCGGGCUGCUGCUGUGGAUGUGAAAGCCGGAAAAACGCCCCGCAUCUAGUGGCUUGA
rnacentral:lncRNA from 1 species